GACGAACCGUGCAAACGUUGUUCGGAAUCACUGGGCUUAAAGGGCGCGUAGGCGGGUCACCAAGUCCGGGGUGAAAUCUUUCGGCUCAACCGGAAAAGUGCCUUGGAUACUGGUGGUCUUGAGUGAGGUAGGGGCAUGUGGAACUUCCGGUGGAGCGGUGAAAUGCGUUGAUAUCGGAAGGAACUCCGGUGGCGAAAGCGACGUGCUGGACCUCUUCUGACGCUGAGGCGCGAAAGCUAGGGGAGCAAACGGG
rnacentral:rRNA from 1 species